GACGAACGCUGGCGGCGUGCUUAACACAUGCAAGUCGAACGGAAAGGCCCUGCUUUUGUGGGGUGCUCGAGUGGCGAACGGGUGAGUAACACGUGAGUAACCUGCCCUUGACUUUGGGAUAACUUCAGGAAACUGGGGCUAAUACCGGAUAGGAGCUCCUGCUGCAUGGUGGGGGUUGGAAAGUUUCGGCUGUUGGGGAUGGACUCGCGGCUUAUCAGCUUGUUGGUGGGGUAGUGGCUUACCAAGGCUUUGACGGGUAGCCGGCCUGAGAGGGUGACCGGCCACAUUGGGACUGAGAUACGGCCCAGACUCCUACGGGAGGCAGCGGUGGGGAAUAUUGCACAAUGGGCGGAAGCCUGAUGCAGCAACGCCGCGUGCGGGAUGACGGCCUUCGGUUUGUAAACCGCUUUCGCCUGUGACGAAGCGUGAGUGACGGUAAUUGGUAAAGAAGCACCGGCUAACUACGUG
rnacentral:rRNA from 1 species